GACGAACGCUGGCGGCGUGCCUAAUACAUGCAAGUAGAACGCUGAAGCGAGGAGCUUGCUCUUCUUGGAUGAGUUGCGAACGGGUGAGUAACGCGUAGGUAACCUGCCUUGUAGCGGGGGAUAACUAUUGGAAACGAUAGCUAAUACCGCAUAACAAUGGAUGACACAUGUCAUUUAUUUGAAAGGGGCAAUUGCUCCACUACAAGAUGGACCUGCGUUGUAUUAGCUAGUAGGUGAGGUAACGGCUCACCUAGGCGACGAUACAUAGCCGACCUGAGAGGGUGAUCGGCCACACUGGGACUGAGACACGGCCCAGACUCCUACGGGAGGCAGCAGUAGGGAAUCUUCGGCAAUGGGGGCAACCCUGACCGAGCAACGCCGCGUGAGUGAAGAAGGUUGUCGGAUCGUAAAGCUCGGUUGUAAGUCAAGAACGAGUGUGAGAGUGGAAAGUUCACACUGUGACGGUAGCUUACCAGAAAGGGACGGCUAACUACGUG
rnacentral:rRNA from 1 species